rnacentral:rRNA from 1 species
CCUUCCUUGAGGUGGGGAAUAACCCAGUGAAAAUUGGGAUAAUACCGCAUAACAUGACGAUGCCACAUGGUGUUGUCUUCAAAGGCGCAAGUCGCCACAAGAGGGAUCCGCGGCCGAUUAGCUAGUUGGUGAGGUAACGGCUCACCAAGGCAAUGAUCGGUAGCCGGACUGAGAGGUUGGCCGGCCACACUGGAACUGAGACACGGUCCAGACUCCUACGGGAGGCAGCAGUGGGGAAUCUUGCACAAUGGGCGAAAGCCUGAUGCAGCAACGCCGCGUGGGGGAUGAAGCUUCUCGGAGUGUAAACCCCUUUCGACCCGGACGAAUGCCCGCAAGGGUUUGACGGUACGGGUAUAAGAAGCCCCGGCUAACUACGUGCCAGCAGCCGCGGUAAGACGUAGGGGGCCAGCGUUGCUCGGAAUUACUGGGCGUAAAGGGUCCGUAGGCGGUGUGGUAAGUCGGGAGUGAAAUCUCUGGGCUUAACUCAGAGGCUGCUUCCGAAACUGCCGUGCUAGAGUGCGAGAGAGGCAAGUGGAAUUGCGGGUGUAGCGGUGAAAUGCGUAGAUAUCCGCAGGAACAUCCGAGGCGAAAGCGGCUUGCUGGAUCGCAACUGACGCUGAGGGACGAAAGCUAGGGGAGCAAACAGGAUUAGAUACCCUGGUAGUCCUAGCCCUAAACCAUCACGACUUGGGGUUUGUCCUGUACGGGGCAAGUCCCGGAGCUAACGCGUUAAGUCGUGCGCCUGGGGAGUACGGUCGCAAGACUGAAACUCAAAGGAAUUGACGGGGGCCCGCACAAGC